rnacentral:rRNA from 1 species
GCACAAGCAGCGGAGCGUGUGGUUUAAUUCGAUGCUACACGAAGAACCUUACCAGGGUUUGACAUACAAGUAGUAGGGAAAGGAAACUGGACCGACCUUCGGGGAGCUUGUACAGGUGCUGCAUGGCUGUCGUCAGCUCGUGUCGUGAGAUGUUGGGUUAAGUCCCGCAACGAGCGCAACCCUUAUCCCUAGUUGCCAUCAGGUAAAGCUGGGAACUCUGGGGAGACUGCCGGUGAUAAACCGGAGGAAGGCGGGGAUGACGUCAAGUCCUCAUGGCCCUUACAUCCCGGGCUACACACGUGCUACAAUGGCAGGUACAGAGGGCUGCGAAGCCGCGAGGUGGAGCGAAUCCCAGAAAACCUGUCUCAGUCCGGAUUGAAGUCUGCAACUCGACUUCAUGAAGGCGGAAUCGCUAGUAACCGCGAAUCAGCAGGUCGCGGUGAAUACGUUCCCGGGCCUU